AAUGUAAUCCAGGUCACUAACAAUGUUAUCCAGGUCACUAACAAUUUAAUCCAGGUCACUAGCAAUGUAAUCCAGGUCACUAACAAUGUAAUCCAGGUCACCAACAAUGUAAUCCAGGUCACUAACAAUGCAAUCCAGGUCGCUAACAAUGUAAUCCAGGUCACCAACAAUGUAAUCCAGGUCACUAACAAUGUAAUCCAGGUCACUAACAAUGUAAUCCAGGUCACUAACAAUGUAAUCCAGGUCAUCAACAAUGUAAUCCAGGUCACUAACAAUGUAAUCCAGGUUACUAACAAUGUAAUCCAGGUCACUAACAAUGUAAUCCAGGUCACUAACAAUGUAAUCCAGGUUACUAACAAUGUAAUCCAGGUCACUAACAAUGUAAUCCAGGUCACUAACAAUUUAAUCCAGGUCACUAACAAUUUAAUCCAGGUCACUAGCAAUGUAAUCCAGGUUACUAACAAUGUAAUCCAGGUCACCAACAAUGUAAUCCAGGUCACUAACAAUGUAAUCCAGGUCGCUAACAAUGUAAUCCAGGUUACUAACAAUGUAAU